rnacentral:rRNA from 1 species
GACGAACGCUGGCGGCGUGCUUAACACAUGCAAGUCGAACGGAAAGGCCCUGCUUUUGUGGGGUGCUCGAGUGGCGAACGGGUGAGUAACACGUGAGUAACCUGCCCUUGACUUUGGGAUAACUUCAGGAAACUGGGGCUAAUACCGGAUAGGAGCUCCUGCUGCAUGGUGGGGGUUGGAAAGUUUCGGCGGUUGGGGAUGGACUCGCGGCUUAUCAGCUUGUUGGUGGGGUAGUGGCUUACCAAGGCUUUGACGGGUAGCCGGCCUGAGAGGGUGACCGGCCACAUUGGGACUGCGAUACGGCCCAGACUCCUACGGGGGGCAGCAGUGGGGAAUAUUGCACAAUGGGCGGAAGCCUGAUGCAGCAACGCCGCGUGCGGGAUGACGGCCUUCGGGUUGUAAACCGCUUUCGCCUGUGACGAAGCGUGAGUGACGGUAAUGGGUAAAGAAGCACCGGCUAACUACGUG